AGAGUUUGAUCCUGGCUCAGGACGAACGCUGGCGGUGUGCCUAAUACAUGCAAGUCGAGCGAACCGAUGAAGAGCUUGCUCUUCAAAGGUGAGCGGCGGACGGGUGAGUAACACGUGGGCAACCUGCCUGCAAGAUCGGGAUAACUCCGGGAAACCGGGGCUAAUACCGGAUAAUGCAUUUCGCUGCAUGGCGGAAUGCUAAAAGGCGGCUUCGGCUGUCACUUGCAGAUGGGCCCGCGGCGCAUUAGCUAGUUGGGGAGGUAACGGCUCCCCAAGGCGACGAUGCGUAGCCGACCUGAGAGGGUGAUCGGCCACACUGGGACUGAGACACGGCCCAGACUCCUACGGGAGGCAGCAGUAGGGAAUUUUCCGCAAUGGGCGCAAGCCUGACGGAGCAACGCCGCGUGAGUGAGGACGGCUUUCGGGUUGUAAAACUCUGUUCUUCGGGGAAGAACGGUGGUCGGGUGAAUAGCCCGAUUGCGUGACGGUACCGAAGGAGAAAGCCCCGGCUAACUACGUGCCAGCAGCCGCGGUAAUAC
rnacentral:rRNA from 1 species